rnacentral:rRNA from 1 species
AACGGAGGGGGCAAGUGUUACUCGUCAUAACUGGGCGUAAAGGGUGCGUAGACGGUUUUUUAAGUUUGAAGUAAAAGAAUAGUGAAAGACAUUAUAAAUGCUUUGAAUACUGAAAAUCUAGAGUUCGAGAGAGGAAAGUGGUAUUCUUACUGUAGAGGUGAAAUUCAGAGAUAGUAGGAGGACGAUCGAAGGCGAAGGCAACUUUCUGGUUCGUAACUGACGUUGAG